CCCAGUUUCGACAACGUGCAAGAGCACGUUGCCGAAACUCCUCUUCGGCAAGGUUUCGGCAACGUGCUCUUGCACGUUGUUGAAACUGGGUUUC
rnacentral:miRNA from 1 species